CACCUGUCCAGGCAGCCCCUGCAGUCACGGGAGAGACCUCUCUUCCUACACAGCGCCUUUGGUGUAAGGAGCAGAGUGGAAUGUGGAAGGAUCUGUGAGCUGUGUCCUGGCUGUUUGUAACAGAAUGGCCCUGCUUGGGGGAAGAAGUCCAUGUGAGGCAUUCAAGGUUGAAUUCUCUGGCUGAUCCUGCAUUUCCCAUGGGCUGGUGAGAGCUCAUGGAACACUUAAUAUUUAAACUGUUGACACAGUGCCCGAUUUAGACAGCAGCUUCAGCCUCACCCUCGUUUGGAGAAGUGUGUUGGUUGGGGGAAAGCCGCAUGACCCAAGCAGCCAGCACAGAAUGUCCAGGCUGCUUCACCCCGCGCGGCUGGGUUACAUCUGCUCUGUACGUCCAGGGACAGUGUGACUUCCACUGGUUUCCCAGCACAAGGUCUAUUAGAUGAGACUUCACAACACAACUAGAUGGACAAUAUUUAUAUCAUAUUCUUCAGUGUAUAAUGAGAAGGUACCUACCCAGUGCCACUCGUGCAGCAGAAGCAUCAUAAUUGAUCCAGAAGGACACCCAGGACAGAAUGGUGAUGAGGAUAGAUGGCAUGUAAGUCUGCAGGAUGAAGUAACCAAUGUUCCUCUUAAUUCGGAAGCUCAAAGAUAAGCGCAGAUUUUACAGCCUCAUCGGAGAAGAGGAUUUCUUUAGAGUCUGCUCAAUUGGCUAGGAAUAUUAAGGAAAAAGGGAGCUCUAAGCAAGUUACAGUGUUGUAUCAGACAUCAUGGGAGAACGUCUGUUCAGUCCUCUGUUGAAACUGCCUUUAUGCCAGGCAUGAGAGGAGCGUUGUUUCAAAGUUGUGUGGAUGUGGAAACAAAACAAAACGGAACCCUGCAGAUUUCCAGUGUGCGUGAGUGUGAGAGACAAAGGCUCUUAGCAAGGAAACCACGACUCUCUUCAUCUCGGCGUUGGUCUUAGAAAUACUGUAAGGAAACGUAACUUCAACUAACAAAUUGGCUUGACAUGUCCCAUUAAGAACAAAAUCGCAACGUGGGGAACUGUGGGUAAUCCUCUGCCUUCUGUUUUCUUGGUUGUACUGUAAACUAUUCUCAAAAUACGAAGGAGUGCCAAAAAUGACAUGCCAUUAGUGCAUCCAGGAGGACCUCAUUUACAUCCCAUUACCCGCCACGCCAAGAGCUGCUAUCGCUGCACAUUCCGAGCGGGACCAGGGCUGCCUGGCAGAGGAGAGGCUGGGGAGGCAGCGCCGUGCCUGCCGACUGCUGAUGCCAUGGGACCUCUUUUAUGAAAAAAGCAAUUCUCUGAUAAUCACCACUGAAGCUGCAUCAUCAUUACUGUGAGAUCUGCUGCUCUGGACCGCUCCUGUGGGGAUACUGCAGUGCAUUUUUAUGAGGGAGUGCCGGACCUCCCUUGGCCAGAAUGAUCAGGAAGGCUUUUCAUGGGAGUCCAAGGAAAAUCCAGGUGGGGAGGAGAUGUGGGCUCUGCUCCCACCUCCUGCAAAAAACAGGCUUAGCCAACACUGAGGGCACCUUCCCAGGGCUAUCUGAGGGCUGAGAUAGCCUUCUCCAUCCUCCCAAAAGUGAGAGUAAUUUUAUGUGCCUAGCCUGCUGCCGGGGCUCCAUUUUCCUGAGCAUUUUACCCUGGGGAUGGAGUUUGGAUGAGGGAGCCCAGUCCUGCCCAAAGGGGCAUCCUUGGGAAUGGGUGGCCUUAAAAGCUCUGGGAGGCAGCCUAGGGGUGGGAGGGGUGGCUUGUUUGGGUCAGCAUUGCAUGGCAUACGCACAGCUCUCAAUCUCCAAUGUGCAGUUCUGCUGGUCCAGGGGGUACCUCCGUAGGUCCAUCAUGCAGGCAGCCGUGGUGGUGAUCCUGAAAGAAGAUGAGAGAAAGAAAAAAUUACAAUAAUGAUUAUUUUUUAAAAAGGAGAAAUGAAAGGCAGAUGUGAAAGUCGGGCAGCAUUUGGGGCCGCUGUUUCCCUGGAAACCAGAGAGAGCCACGGUGGGAGGGCAGAGGGAGGUGUGCAAGGGGCUGGAUGCAGCUCACCCUCAACUGCAUGGCUUACACCCUCCGUGACUAACGUCAGCAAGGCAGCAUCUCUAUUAGCAGGGUGGGGAGGGAUUGGUGUUCUUCCCCUGUCUCUCCAGGAGAAAGACAAAGAAACUGGGAGUAGGCAGAGCUAUGAGAGGAGAGAGAUGUCAGAUUGUGAAAGAGAGGCUGAGGGCAAGUGUCCAUAGAACAGAAAAGCAUUGAUCAUAUUGUCCUGCAGUGGCCUCUUCCUUCCCAAAUUGCCCCAAGAACCGCACUGCAGCCCCCACCCAUCGGUGCCCCUCCAUCACACUCACUGCCCUCCUUCUCCUGCACUGUGUGCUGGUGACUCCACUAACAGAUUCACUCCUGUGCAAGUGAUUCCAUGGUCAAGAUUCACCUGACACGUGUGUACAUGUGUGCAUCCCCUAGGAAAAUAAAUGUAGGGAGAGAAAAUGGGCAGGGGUUGUUUUUGGGGUGUCAGUGCCAUGCAGUACCUAUGGAAGGUUUUCAUGCGUGUGGGUGCAUCUGUGUUACACGGUGCACACAAAGGAGCAUUGCUUUCGGGGUUGGGGCAUUUUGCAGUGGGGCAGGUCGGGUGCAGGCACAAAGCAGGGAGAGAGCAAUUCAGCUGCUAACUGCCAGCCCAGAAUUUAGCAGGCUGCCCCCAUUUCUCAAAUUUAUUGCUCCCCUCACCCGUUAAUGCAGUUGUCUUCCUGUGCAGUGUAUGUGUGCAGAGUACUGAAAAGGGGGGAGAGAUUGGUGCAUUCCCCCCCCCCCUUCUUUUUUCAAUUAACCAUCUGGAAGGCAUUAAUCAAGCUACACAUUUUUUACUAUGUAGGCAUAACCAGUGAACUGUUAACGAGAAAGCUUUAUCUUCUGAGCCCUGUGGAUGGGGAGAGAGAGAAAAGAGGGGGGAAAAAAGAAAAAAAAAAAAAGACAAGAAAGCACAUAGGAUGAGAUGGUGAACCAGCAAAAAAAAAAAAAAAAAAAAAAAAAAAAAAAGAAGAAG